rnacentral:rRNA from 1 species
UACAGAGGGUGCGAGCGUUAAUCGGAAUUACUGGGCGUAAAGCGUGCGUAGACGGUUAUUUAAGUCGGGUGUGAAAGCCCCGGGCUCAACCUGGGAAUUGCAUUCGAGACUGAAUAGCUAGGGUACGGUAGAGGGAAGUGGAAUUCCACGUGUAGCAGUGAAAUGCGUAGAGAUGUGGAGGAACACCGAUGGCGAAGGCAGCCCCCUGGGUCAACACUGACGCUCAUGCACGAAAGCGUGGGGAGCAAACAGG